rnacentral:rRNA from 1 species
GAUGAACGCUGGCGGCGUGCCUAAUACAUGCAAGUCGAGCGAACAGACCAGGAGUUUGCUCCUCUGACGUUAUCGGCGGUCGGGUUAGUAACUCGUCGAUAACCUACCUAUAAGACUGUGAUCACUACGGCACACCGGCGCUAAUACCGGAUAAUAUAUUGAACCGCAUUGUUCAAUAGUUAGAUUCGGUUUUUCUGUCACUUAUAGCUUGAUCCGCGCCGAAUCCGCUAGUUGGUAAGGCAACUGCUUACCAAGGCAACGAUGCGUACCCGACCUGAGAGGGUGAUUGGAUAGACGGGAAGUGAGAAAGGGUAGAGACACCUACGGGAGGAAGCAGUAGGGAAUCUUACGCAAUGGACGAAAGCCUGACGGAGCAAAGCCGCGUGAGUGAUGAAGGACUUAGGAUGGUAAAACUCUGUUAUUAGGGAAGAACAAAUGUGUAAGUAACUAGGCAGGUAUUGACGGUACCAGAUCAGAAAGCCACGGCUAACUACGUG